UUUGUCCAAGUGAGCGAGUAACGAUGGGAAAGCAAAGGUGAAGGAAAGCGUCUUCCCGGGUCAGGCGGCUGCCUGCCGUCAGGCUACUGGGUUUCCUGGGCAAGAAGGACUAGACCCAAACUGAGAAUCCGGGAGGUUUGCAGGCUGGAGAAGACUGGGCUGACCUGGGACUUCUGGAAAUCCUCUGUGGAAGCCUUAGGAGGGCUGGGAUGACAGGAAAGAGCCACCACAGCUGGCUGCAGCCACUUCCUCACAGCUGUUACUUGUGUAGAAGACCUGAGUGGUGAGGCUGGGGAGACACCUCAGCUGGCAAAGUGCCAGCCUCACAACUGGGGCCACUUGGGUUGGCUCCCCAGGCCCCGUGUGAAACAAAGCCCGGAGUCAUCUUGCAGACUCUCCAUUUGGAGUUCUUCGGAAAGAGUGGGGUGGAGGGUCUGCAGGAGAGGGUAUCUUCAAACCCCAGAUGAAAAAGUGGAUGCCCCUCAAUUACAGAUUUGUCUCCCUCUUGAUUUAAUCUGUUAAGCUGGCUUGCCACAUUGCCAGCUGGGGCCUGGGGUAGGGCUGUUAUCCUGAAAAAAAAAAAAAAAAUACAGCUCUGAAUGCCACAAUCCUGAAUGUUGAAAUCCUAUUUUUUUUUUUUCAGAUAAGAGCUCAUGUGGCUAAGGCUGGCCUUGAACUCCUGAUCCUUCUGCCUACUAAGUUCUAGAAUUACAGAUGUGUGCCACACACUCAGAUAAUUACAUGAUGAGAAGAAGACUUGUUCGAAGCACAUUAGAAAGUGACAAAACACUUCCAAGGCCACUUGACUUCACACAACACACAUCUUGGCAAGCUGAAACAUCCGAGUGUAGUAACAACCCUCACA